AUUGCCGGUUCAUGGGCUCGAAUGCCGUUUUCCCCCACCCUUUCUCCACCCCUCUUGUUCAGAUGGCCCUCCUCGUCGCAUGGCGGACACCGACGGUCAUCUCACCGUCCCCUCCUGUCCCUCGACCUCCAUGACCCGCUCUAUCGCCGGAGCAUCGCGGAUGACCCUCGUGGAUAUCUUCCGGUACCGCACGCCCUCCAUCUCUGGGCUUCAACGGUGGCGUAAAGAUGAUUGUCUGCCUGCCGCUCGGCUGGUGCCCUUAGCGCUUGCCAUCGUGGUAGAGCAAGUCGCCACGGUUGGGCUCUGUCCGGGGGAAGGACGAGAAGAACCCCGUGACACGGUGGCGAUCGAGCGUCGUGCGGAUCAUCAGGAUCUGCGCCCGAUAGUCCCAUAAUCGGGCGACGAAAGACUUCCUCCUUGCUUUUUGAUCGAUCAGAACCGUCCGAAUGGGAUGACGUCAUGACAUUCUAGAUGGCCUCACACCGUUCUAUUCUGUCAAAGCGAACUCACCUGUAAUGAGCGAGGCAGGGAAGCGCGAGUGUCUCUCGGUCGUGGGCCCCCAAACGAACGGUUGUGGCUCGCCGAAGAGAGGUGACUUUCAUGGGGCUCGCGUUCUUUUUCCGCCUUCUCAACCGCCCAUUCUUCUUUUCGGUGGCUUUCGCCCUCCCCUUGGCUGAUGUAGACGGCGAUGUCGCCGUUCCCUCCUCUCCCUCGACCUUAAUGACUUCCACUAUGCCGGAGCGCCACUGGCGCUGCCGCUGAUGAUCCUUCGGGUACCAUACGCCCGCCGCCUGUGGGUUCAAAGGUUGGCGCAAAGACGGCCCUAUGCCUGCCGAUUGCCGCCGCUCGGCUGGUGCUCUUGGCGCUGGCGAUCGUGGCGGAGCACGUCGCCACAGUUGGCCUAUCUUCGGAGGGAAGGACAAGAGGAGCCUCGUGCCACGGUAGCGGCGCAGCGCUGUGUAGAUCAUCAGGAUCUACGCCAGGUUCUCUAACACAAUCAAGAAAGCUCACACUUCAUGAAAUAAAGAACACUUUGGGCAAGGGAGUAGGAUUUGGCAGCCAAGAGGAUUCUUCCUUCCCUAUCUUUCAGGAUGAAGCCUAGACCUGCAACUUCAGUAGAGGAGGUGAAAGAAGCAUUGCAUUCAAGCAUAUAGUGGAAGCCGAAGGAACAGUGACAAGAUAAUCAGAAUCAGUUGUUCCUCAUCCCCCUCUGCACCAUGUAUGGCAUUAACAACUAUAUUAAUAAGGACCGACUUACCCACUUGGGAGUGGAGGUUCCUCUUUCAACCCUAAACCUUAUAAACAACCUUGUUAAUCAGUUUGUCUUGGAAAGAUAAGGAGAUUAUGAAAGUACCCAAGUACUUCAUAUGCCAGGUCCCCUCUUUCAUGUUGAAGAGGUUAUAUAUUUUAAGUCUGGUUUGGAAGGAAGUAGACUUGGGGAAAUAGAUAAGUGAUUUUGUUGUGUUGA